rnacentral:sRNA from 1 species
UGCAGGAGUUUGAGGAAGAAAUUGCCAAAUACGACCGGAUCUGUGAGGAGGCUUAUGGCAGGUCGAAGGAUAAAAAGAUCCUGCAUAUAAAGCACUGGUUGGACUCCCCCUGGCCUGGCUUCUUCAACGUAGAUGGGGAGCCCAAGAGCAUGACGUGCCCAGCCACGGGGAUCCCUGAGGACAUGCUCACCCAUAUCGGCAGCGUGGCCAGCUCUGUGCCCCUGGAGGACUUUAAGAUCCACACCGGUGAGGUUGCUGGGCAGGCUGCAGCCCAGGCUGCUGGCCCCACCCCCACAUUGUGCCUUGAAGGGAGGUUGGUUGGGAUGCAAGAGAGAUGGUGUGUCGCAUUCUUGCUCAGUCUGCAGUGGGUCCACGUAGCUCUUGGCACCUCGUCUGUGCCCGUGACAGUAGCUCUUCUCAGGGUGGGCGUGGCAAGCUGGGCAGCUCCAGAUGCCACACUCCCAGCUGGGUACCAGUGACUAGGCUGGGGACCUUGGAUUUUCCAAAUGCCUUUGCCGGGGCGUCCCUGCAUCAGGCAAAAGAGCAGGAAAGCAAGGGCUCCCAUACAGGGGCUGGAACGCAGCCUGGAACGUGGGCAGGAUUCUGCAGCUGAAAGGAUGGCGGCUUGCCAGGGCCUGGACCAAUGACCGAGGGCAGCCCCCC